rnacentral:lncRNA from 1 species
UGGACAGCAGCAGCGGCAUCGCAAAAACAGCUGAUUUUUUGGCGCCGGCGGAUCUGAAAGAAAAGGCAGCAGCAGAAGCUGUUUGGAGAGAAGACGCAGAGAAAGGUUUCGCGUCGAACCGUCCUUGGUCUGGGUCACUCCCGCGUCGGCUGCGCGCCCCACGAAGGCGAGAGUAGAUCUUUUCCAGGUCGGUAAGGAUCAGCUUCCCUUCUAGGGCUAUCAGUGCCUUCUCUUCGUCGUUCCCUGUUGCAUCGCUUCGUGCGACAGUCACCGCAGCUCCUGGGAGACGAAGAAAGAUGCACUGCCGUCGGCGAGGGCUGACCAGCCGCCGCUGAGGGUGCCGCUCAGCCCGCCCGGGUGAGGUGCCUCGCACGGCAGCUGCUUUCGGCGAAGCAUGUGCACGAUUACGUCUCCUUUCCGCGGGGUUUUCUUGAUGUAGAGAAACGCCUUGCGUGGAUGCGCAGUGCCGAGGGGGACCGGCAGCCGGUCGCUGUGGCGCCAGAGUGCAGCAAAAUGGGAGGCAUCUCGCCGCGUGUAUCGUCCCUCGUACGUCGGCAUUCGCAACGUAAGGCCCAUGCGUAGACGAGCAAGACUCAGCUGCGUAGAAAGGCGUUGAACAACCAGAAAACCCCGAAAGAAUAGGCCACCCAGUCGACAGCGGAUACUCCACACCGACGCAAAAAUAAGGUAGAACAGGAGAGGGCAAGGCAGACACGCAGUGUGAGGGGUUGCUCUAGGCGAGGAAGGAAGGCGACAGUGAAGUGGCCUCCAGAGGAACGAUGGAAGAGGAGCUUCCAAGGCAGAUGGACGCACAGCUUCCUGGUGGAAAGCACACGGAAGAGCGCGAUGUGGUUCCGCUCGGAUCCGGGGGGGACAUCAGAGCAUUUAUCGUGUCUAGAAACUCCCUAGGGGGAUCGGGGAUUGCAGAGACUCUUAUAACGAGCAUUGCCUUGCCAAGCCUCGAGGCGCAACUCUGUUUCGCGUGAGGAUAGGAUUGCUGCUGUUGUCUGGAAACCCCCGUCCGACCACGCUGCGGGUCCAGAUCUGGAAGGCCGUGUCUGGUUCCACGAUGUACUGCGAGAGUGGGGGCGGGGAUACGAGGGGUCUUGGUCUAGACGCGAGUUGUUUCUCGACAAAGGACGGUUUUCCACGGUGGGAGGAAACGGUGAAAGGUACAUCCCCCUGCCUUGCGCGCCAGUGAAAAGCCCCCUUUAAACAUCUUUCUGGAUCAUUAUAUUUAAUAAAAGGUAUUGAAUUGUCCGUAAAAUUUUCCCUGCACGUAAGGUGUAACGACUUGAACACUGUC